CUCCAAUGUCACAAGACACAUCUUGAUCUUGACACACACAUUUAAAUGUAUAUUUAUGAGGAACCUUGAGCAUCCAAAGGCACAACUGUCAAUAGCCUGAAGCAGAUAAUCUUGUUAAUUAGAUUUGGUUUGCGGCUUGAAAAUUAAAUGUUGGUCCAGUUGCCCCUGAUGUUUGAGAGGAACUGGCGCCAUGAGAGAUGAGAUUAUGAAACACCAGAAGCGCUUGGCGAAGUAAAACAGACAGGUGGUCAUACGUGAGAUGGUGUAGUUACAGCAUCUACCAUAAGGGAUUAAAUGGGUCACACUAACCAGCCAAACGCUGCCCCUUUGGUUAUGAAUAAGUCUUUUUCAAACCCAAAAUAAAUGGACACCAGUAACUUAUUUGCAUCCACUCUGUGUUGCCUAAUUCUUUGAAAUCCCUCUUGAAGCCAUUGCUGUGGCAAACAGUAUGACAAGAAAAGCACUUUUCUGCAUCAGAGUAGCUCACCCUUUGUCUACUGUGUGUGAGCACAUCUCUCAGAGCAUACAUGUUUACAUUGGCUAUUUUGUGCCCGCAGAUCUGAGUUUUUGAGCAGUAUAUAUUGAAGAGUGUGUAUUGUGCACUUUUUUAUUUGUCAGAUCAGGACUUUAGAUUCUGUGUGUCAUCUGAGGCUGAAUAUGAAACACACAACAGAUUUGCUUCUGUAUUCCCUGGAUUUGGACCUACAGAAAAAGAGAAAGGAGAAAAAAAAGGAAAAAAAAGCCAGUGAAUAUUUUGAGUGUGUAUGUGUCCUGUAAAUGCUUUAUUCAGAAUGUAAAGUUUAUUUCUCCACAAUAUUGAUAUGUGUACAUAAUAUCUGUGGU